GGCGGCGGCGGCGGCGGCGGCCGAGGCUGAGGCUGAGGCUGAGGCGGCGGCGGCGGCGGCGGCGGCGGCGGCGGCGGCGGGCGGGGCUCGGCUCGGGCUCCGCGGGCGGGCGGGCGGACAUGGCGGCCAACAUGUACCGGGUCGGAGAUUAUGUCUACUUUGAGAAUUCCUCCAGUAACCCAUACCUAAUCAGAAGGAUAGAAGAACUCAACAAGACUGCAACUGGCAACGUGGAAGCAAAAGUAGUGUGCUUUUAUAGACGACGAGAUAUUUCGAACACGCUUAUAAUGCUUGCAGACAAGCAUGCUAAAGAAAUUGAGGAAGAAUCAGAAACCACAAUUGAAGCCGACUUGACGGAUAAACAGAAGCAUCAGCUGAAACAUAGGGAGCUCUUCUUGUCACGCCAGUAUGAAUCUCUGCCUGCAACUCAUAUCAGGGGAAAAUGCAGUGUUGCCCUUCUGAAUGAGACAGAGUCAGUAUUGUCGUAUCUUGAUAAAGAGGACACCUUUUUCUACUCAUUGGUCUAUGACCCUUCAGUGAAAACACUGUUAGCUGACAAAGGUGAAAUCAGAGUGGGGCCUAGAUAUCAAGCAGACAUUCCAGAGAUGCUCUUAGAAGGAGAGUCAGAUGAGAGGGAACAGUCCAAAUUGGAAGUUAAAGUUUGGGAUCCAAAUAGCCCACUUACGGAUCGACAGAUUGACCAGUUCUUAGUUGUAGCACGUGCCGUGGGGACAUUCGCUCGAGCCCUUGAUUGCAGCAGUUCUGUGAGGCAGCCGAGUCUGCAUAUGAGCGCAGCUGCGGCGUCUCGAGACAUCACCCUGUUUCACGCUAUGGAUACGUUGUAUAGGCACAGCUAUGAUUUGAGCAGUGCAAUUAGUGUCUUAGUACCACUUGGAGGACCUGUGUUAUGCAGAGAUGAAAUGGAAGAGUGGUCAGCCUCUGAAGCUAGUUUAUUUGAAGAGGCACUGGAAAAAUAUGGCAAAGACUUCAAUGACAUACGUCAAGACUUUCUCCCUUGGAAAUCAUUGACUAGCAUCAUUGAAUAUUAUUACAUGUGGAAAACUACUGACAGAUACGUGCAGCAGAAACGUCUAAAAGCAGCAGAAGCCGAGAGUAAACUGAAGCAAGUGUAUAUCCCAACUUACAGCAAACCAAAUCCCAACCAAAUAUCUGCCAGCAAUGGCAAACCUGGUGCUGUGAAUGGAGCCGUGGGGACCACAUUCCAGCCACAGAAUCCCCUCCUAGGGCGAGCCUGUGAGAGCUGCUACGCUACACAGUCUCAUCAGUGGUAUUCUUGGGGCCCACCUAAUAUGCAGUGUCGAUUGUGUGCGACCUGUUGGCUCUAUUGGAAAAAAUAUGGAGGCCUGAAAAUGCCCACCCAGUCAGAGGAAGAGAAGUUAUCGCCCAGCCCAACUACAGAGGACCCCCGUGUUAGGAGUCACAUGUCUCGCCAGGCCAUGCAGGGGAUGCCAGUCCGAAACACGGGGAGCCCAAAGUCUGCAGUGAAGACUCGCCAAGCUUUCUUCCUUCACACUACGUAUUUCACAAAAUUUGCUCGUCAGGUCUGCAAAAAUACCCUCCGGCUGCGGCAGGCAGCAAGACGGCCGUUUGUUCCUAUUAAUUAUGCUGCCAUUAGGGCAGAAUAUGCAGACAGACAUGCCGAGCUAUCUGGAAGUCCACUGAAAAGCAAAAGCACUAGGAAACCUUUGGCAUGUAUCAUUGGGUAUUUAGAGAUCCAUCCUUCGAAGAAACCUAAUGUAAUUCGAACUACGCCAAGCCUGCAAACCCCCACUACCAAGCGGAUGCUAGCCACCCCGAAUCACACGUCUUUGAGCAUUUUGGGGAAAAGAAACUACAGUCAUCACAAUGGCCUGGAUGGGGUACUACUGAAGCAGGACUCAGUGUCAGAAAAACCAGAGCAACUGGCUCAGGAAAGAGAAAGGCUCAUGAAGUGAAGGCCCAGCUCUGUUCCAUCCUGCAGACCUUCCUCAGGAUGGCGGGAGGCUGUGAAGAACUCACAUGCUGCGUGUCGGACUGAGCUAACCCUAUUUCAUACUAUAAGCCAAGACUCGCUACACUGUCCUGCUGAUGUUCACAGCCGUGCCUGGGAAGGAGGCAGCCCCAUUUCCAGCACAUUUCAGUGGGAGACCUACACAUGUGCCCCCUGGAGACUCGGUGGGGCAGGGGAAGAAACUGUGGGAGUGCACGUCCCCAAAGCCGCGUCUCCAUGUGUGAAUCAGUGUCACCUUGCUUUCCUCUCAGAGACUUCACUGUCCCAUAGCGGGACCUGCCUGAAAAUGGAGGGGACAAGGGGGCCCUCAGUCUCCUCCUUCUCCAACACUCCGUUCCCAGGCACUGCGGCUCCUCGGGCAGCGGAGCGCCUAAGAGCUCAGAGCUGCUGCUGCCCUGCAUGCGUCAGCUCAGCCCUAUUGUCAGUGCCAUGAUGGUCUACGGGAGGGACAUGGCCGCUUUCUGAAUGGAUUUUUCUUAAGAAAAGUGCCAGUGUUUAUCCAGUUCAUGAUAUUCUCCUCUCCUUACCAUUACUGUCACUUGGCUUUUUCUCAAUAGGUUUCAUCUUCAUUUUUUUUUUUAAUGGGGAAGUUUUGCUAUCACCCCUCUAUCCUAUAUUUGGCUUCCCCUCCUCUACCCUUCCUAGGUACAGAAUUAUGAGAUUCUGACAAAAAAAUAAGAAAAUCUUCUUCAGUAAGCCUGCGAACACUUCAUAUCAUCUGUAUUUUAUUGUUGGAGAGGCUGGUGUUCUACUAGGUGCUGCCUGGUCCCAGACAGCCCAAGCAAAAGCAGGUGUUGAAACCGAGCUGAGUGUAUAUCACUGUGACAAGCCAUUCGCAUACUGCCCUGUUCCCUGACAGCCAAGCCAGCCGCCGAGCAACUGCCACCAGGUUAGUCCUUCAACGAGUCACAAAUCACCCAGGUUUAUUUUAAGCAGAUGAAAUCUGUUUGGCCUCGGAGGGUGAAAUGAGAGACGUGUGUUUGCAGGUGAGUGUGUAUAUCUGACACCACGAGCUCCCCACCCUUCCAGCCCAGACAUUCUGUGAACACACGUGCCUAGGCCCCCAGAGAUGUGCCUGUGACCCAGUUUUUACUGGCUUUGGGCUUUUCCUCUCUGCCCUCAGCACCAGCCCUUGCUGGCCCCACAGGCUGGCCAUUCUGCAGCUCUGUGCACACAGCUUCAGGCGUGUGAAUAACUUAGUGCCCCCACAACUCCCCUGAACUGAUGGGAGCCUGGCCACUCCCUUGUCCUCCAUUUAUAGGGACAGGCUGCAGGGCACAGGCUCACAGCACCGUGAAAGGAAACCGGAGUCUGGCCUUAGAGCUGCCCCUGGGGUCUGUAGCCGAUGGACAAACAGCCAGGUGGUUGCAGGACAGAAUGACUACAAUUGAGUUGACACUCCCCAGCCCCCCACCCCCUGCCCCCCAGCAGAGUGAGGUCUCAUUAAAAUAACAAUGACACUGUAGAUGCCCAGAUCCUCAGAGGCUGGGUUCAGCUCAGCAAAGAGAACGUGAUGGAUGAUGACUGUCGGCGAUGCCCAGAGCUCAAGCUGCCUUCUCCUUCUCCUGUUUUGCAGCUAGCAUGGUUUCUCUUCCAAGGCAUUGCUUCUCAUCUUUGGCUCUGGCAAGGAUGACCUGGGGCUGUUCUCACCACUGCCAACUCUUGGGGCUGUUCUGAGUCUUGCCCUGUGUUAGAGGUGCCCAGUGAGUAGGGCGGAGGUGACAGGCAUCGCCCUUAGGGUUCCCCAGAAAGAAGCCCCUCUGAAAAGACCCAGGGAGAGGAGGCAGCUGGCUCUCUGCAUCACACGCCACAUGGUGUGUUCUUUCUAAAGAAAGACACGGGAAGGCUGUCUGCAUGUCCUGCCCAGGGUUUACUGUCUCACAUAGACAUAGAAGGUACAAUGGCUCCCUGGCCCUUGCCCGCCCUCUCCUGACCCUGUGAAAUGUCACUGUUGAUUACAGAAAAGUCCACUUCCGUGUCCCUGCUGCCAAGCUUCUCCGCCUUUUGGGAGAGGCCCUCCUCACCCAGGCCCAGGAGACUUGGAGAUUGAGGCCAACCCCUGUCUACAGGGAGAACAGGGAGUCCCUUACCCUAGGUGUAGUUCACACUGAGCUCUGGCAAAAGUGCAGCUUGUUCUGAGCCGCGUGUACCGAGAAAGCUCUUCCUGCACCUUGUAGUAAGAGCUCCUGGUUCUGCAGCCCCGUCCUACAAAGAGGAGGCUCCCCAGCAUUCUAACUGAACACUCGAGGGAAUAGAGGGACGACACCCAGGAGCCUCUAACAUUUGCCUUGGCCGUUCUGAGUGCUUGGUGUGAGAGGGUUUCCCAGCCACCCCCUUCCUGGGGCCACAGUGCCUCCAUGGAGUGUGCUGGGGACAUGUCACCAGGUGCAGCGCACUUGUGGGGAGGACAUGCGGGGUCUGUCUGCACGGCCCAUGGCAGCUUUACCCGGAGGCGCUGUGCUGAGCCUGGUCUACGCUCCCUUGGAUGAGGACACAGAAGCUCACAAGCCAUCUUCCCACUCUGCCUCACCACCUGCCCACCCCUAGAGAUGGUGCAAAAGAGGACAGACUGGUUUUCAGCCCACCUCUCACAGCUCCACGUUGCCCACAGCCCGGUUUCUGUCAGUCAGCAUCCAACCAGGGACACACAGCCACUCCCAAUAUUUAAAACAGGGGUUUUCAUCCAGAGAAUUAUUGAACACAGCAAGAAGAGGCCCAACUCAGGUGGGGAACAACAGCGGGAAGCGGCCACCCCCCGGAGGCUGGUAGAGGCCACAUUACCAGAGCGCAGGGAUUAGGGCCCCUGGGAGGAACAGGGGACCAAGGCCUAUCUGGUGGGACCUGGGGCCUCAAGGAGGCAUGGAGGCUGCUGGAAACAACCCCCAGGCAGGUGUGGGGAGAAAUAGCCUGGCUUCUUCUUUUUUCAUGCCCUAUAGGUUCUUCAGGAGCCUCUUAGUUCAACUCGGCUGGAAGCCAGCUGAGCUGGGGUCCUGGGACAAGCACGCCCCUGCCACUCAGAGCAGGGGGUGGAGGUAGAGAAGGAGUCUGAGCGUAGGCAGGCUGCAUUGGGUGUGGCCUCGGUCUGCUCUGUGUCAGGCCCAGCCUGGCGUGUCUGCCCUGUGCUAUCCUAAGACCCCGCUGAGGGGAGAUGCAGGCCCCAUGGAGGUUCUGCAGAUCACUCACCUAGAGAGGAAAACAUCUUUGGGAGGGAGGGGUAAAGCCUUAUUCUCAGUAGUCGUCCCUGUUUUCUUUUGGGGGAAUUUACCUGUUUAGCAACCCCUUGCCAUUCCCCUCAGGAAAGCCAUGUCCCAGUUUUCUGUCCAUCCCUCCCCUCUGUUCCUCUGCCCUCAAUUUCUGAUUUGCCCUGCCAGAGAGCACUAGCCCAGACCAUACAUCAGCGGUCAUGAGUGUUUUCCCAGGAUAAUUCAUUCAGAGCGUGGUAUUACUGUGGACUGUCUGUAAGUAGGUACCAUCUACUAAUCAAUUUGUGUUGUGUUUCCAAUAAAUUUCUGGAGAUCA